AUACUUAGCCUGCAGAAGAGAGACCAUGGUCACAAAGAUGGUUUUCCCAGGGUGAGGAUUUCCCCUGCAAUCCAGAUGUGCUUACCUCUGCCAUUACCCCAAAUGUGGGAAACAAUACUGCAUAGGUUGCAGUAGUGGGGGACUGUAUUCAUUCUCCCUCCCU